rnacentral:rRNA from 1 species
GACAGAGGGUGCAAACGUUGUUCGGAAUUACUGGGCGCAAAGCGCGUGUAGGCGGCUAAGUAAGUCGGGCGUGAAAUCCCACGGCUCAACCGUGGAAGUGCACUCGAAACUGCAUAGCUAGAGUCCUGGAGAGGAAGGUGGAAUGCUUGGUGUAGAGGUGAAAUUCGUAGAUAUCAAGCGGAACACCGGUGGCGAAGGCGGCCUUCUGGACAGUGACGUGACGCUGAGACGCGAAAGCGUGGGGAGCAAACAGGG